rnacentral:rRNA from 1 species
CAGUCGCCGCGGGAAUACGAAGGGGGCUAGCGUUGUUCGGAAUUACUGGGCGUAAAGCGCACGUAGGCGGAUACUUAAGUCAGGGGUGAAAUCCCGGGGCUCAACCCCGGAACUGCCUUUGAUACUGGGUAUCUUGAGUCCGGAAGAGGUGGGUGGAAUUCCGAGUGUAGAGGUGAAAUUCGUAGAUAUUCGGAGGAACACCAGUGGCGAAGGCGGCUCACUGGUCCGGUACUGACGCUGAGGUGCGAAAGCGUGGGGAGCAAACAGGAUUAGAUACCCCUGUAGUCCCUGUCUCUUAUAC